GUGUUCAAUUUCAGGUGUGAUGCAAAUCACGAUUGAAAUCUCUGAGGUGAAAGAGGCGAUGGAAGCGGUGAGUAGGGGUGUCGGUGAGAGAGUAAACUGAGUCGGUGAAAGAGAGUGAGAGAGAGUAAGCUUUGUCGAUGACUCGGUGAGUCAAGUGGUGACGAAGACAGUGACGAAGAGGCGAUGAAGGAAGAGGCGGCGCGGCGGAAGCUCAAGGUGAGUUAAGAGAAAUUAGGUUUUUGCAGAUAGGGAAGCUCAAUU
rnacentral:lncRNA from 1 species